rnacentral:misc_RNA from 1 species
UUUCCGUAGGUGAACCUGCGGAAGGAUCAUUAUUGUAUAACCGAGGUGCGAGGGCUGUCGCUGACCCGAAAGGUCGUGCACGCCCGAGUGCCCUCACACACAUCCAUCUCACCCCUAUGUGCACCACCGCGUGGGUCCCCCUUUGGCUUGUUCGGAGGGGGGCUUACGUUUUCACACAAACUUUGUAUGCAGUGUAGAAUGUAUUUUUUGUUUUUGCGAUCACGCAAUCAAUACAACUUUCAACAACGGAUCUCUUGGCUCUUGCAUCGAGAAGAACGCAGC